rnacentral:rRNA from 1 species
GUUGUAUAGUCAAGUAAUUAAGUGCAUGUGGUGGAUGCCUUGGCAGUCAGAGGCGAUGAAAGACGUGAUAGCCUGCGAAAAGCUCCGGGGAGGCGGCAAAUAUCCUUUGAUCCGGAGAUGUCUGAAUGGGGGAACCCACCUACUUUAAGGUAGGUAUUGCAACAUGAAUACAUAGUGUUGCAAGGCGAACGAGGGGAAGUGAAACAUCUCAGUACCCUUAGGAAAAGAAAUCAAUUGAGAUUCCCUCAGUAGCGGCGAGCGAACGGGGAUCAGCCCAUUAAGUUAUGUGUGUUUUAGUGGAACGCUCUGGGAAGUGCGAACGUAGAGGGUGAUAUUCCCGUACACGAAAGGGCACACAUAAUGAUGACGAGUAGGGCGAGGCACGUGAAACCUUGUCUGAAUAUGGGGGGACCAUCCUCCAAGGCUAAAUACUCCUGACUGACCGAUAGUGAACCAGUACCGUGAGGGAAAGGCGAAAAGAACCCCUGUGAGGGGAGUGAAAUAGAUCCUGAAACCGCAUGCAUACAAGCAGUGGGAGCACCUUCGUGGUGUGACUGCGUACCUUUUGUAUAAUGGGUCAGCGACUUAUAUUCAGUAGCGAGGUUAACCGUAUAGGGGAGCCGUAGAGAAAUCGAGUCUUAAUAGGGCGUUUAGUUGCUGGGUAUAGACCCGAAACCAGGCGAUCUAUCCAUGAGCAGGUUGAAGGUUGGGUAACACUAACUGGAGGACCGAACCCACUGUCGUUGAAAAGCCAGGGGAUGACUUGUGGAUAGGGGUGAAAGGCUAAUCAAGCCUGGUGAUAGCUGGUUCUCCCCGAAAGCUAUUUAGGUAGCGCCUCGGACGAAUACCAUAGGGGGUAGAGCACUGUUUCGGCUAGGGGGUCAUCCCGACUUACCAAACCGAUGCAAACUCCGAAUACCUAUGAGUACUAUCCGGGAGACAGACUGCGGGUGCUAACGUCCGUAGUCAAGAGGAAAACAAUCCAGACCGCCAGCUAAGGCCCCAAAAUCAUAGUUAAGUGGGAAACGAUGUGGGAAGGCAUAGACAGCUAGGAGGUUGGCUUAGAAGCAGCCACCCUUUAAAGAAAGCGUAAUAGCUCACUAGUCGAGUCGGCCUGCGCGGAAGAUGUAACGGGGCUAAAACUAUGUGCCGAAGCUGCGGAUNNNNNNNNNNNNNNNNNNNNNAUGCUGGAGGUAUCAGAAGUGCGAAUGCUGACGUGAGUAACGACAAAACGGGUGAAAAACCCGUUCGCCGAAAGACCAAGGGUUCCAGUCCAACGUUAAUCGGGGCUGGGUGAGUCGACCCCUAAGGCGAGGCCGAAAGGCGUAGUCGAUGGGAAAAUGGUUAAUAUUCCAUUACUUCUGUGUAAUGCGAUGAGAGGACGGAGAAGGCUAAAUCAGCCUGGCGUUGGUUGUCCAGGUGAAAGGAUGUAGGCAUGUAUCUUAGGCAAAUCCGGGGUACUCUAUGCUGAGAUCUGAUAGCAAGCUGUACUUGUACAGCGAAGUGGUUGAUGCCAUGCUUCCAGGAAAAGUCUCUAAGCUUCAGUUACACAGGAAUCGUACCCGAAACCGACACAGGUGGUCAGGUCGAGUAGACCAAGGCGCUUGAGAGAACUCUGCUGAAGGAACUAGGCAAAAUGGUACCGUAACUUCGGGAGAAGGUACGCUGUUGUUGGUGAUGGAACUCGCUUCCUGAGCUGACGACAGCCGCAGAAACCAGGCCGCUGCAACUGUUUAUUAAAAACAUAGCACUCUGCAAACACGAAAGUGGACGUAUAGGGUGUGAUGCCUGCCCGGUGCUGGAAGGUUAAUUGAUGGGGUUAGCGUAAGCGAAGCUCUUGAUCGAAGCCCCAGUAAACGGCGGCCGUAACUAUAACGGUCCUAAGGUAGCGAAAUUCCUUGUCGGGUAAGUUCCGACCUGCACGAAUGGCAUAAUGAUGGCGGCGCUGUCUCCAGCAGAGGCUCAGUGAAAUCGAAAUCGCUGUGAAGAUGCAGUGUACCCGCGGCUAGACGGAAAGACCCCGUGAACCUUUACUGCAGCUUGACACUGAACUUUGACCUUACUUGUGUAGGAUAGGUGGGAGGCUUUGAAGCUGGAACGCUAGUUCCAGUGGAGCCGUCCUUGAAAUACCACCCUGGUAAUGUUGAGGUUCUAACUCUGUCCCGUGAUCCGGGACGAGGACCGUGUCUGGUGGGUAGUUUGACUGGGGCGGUCUCCUCCUAAAGAGUAACGGAGGAGUACGAAGGUGCGCUCAGCGUGGUCGGAAAUCACGCGUAGAGUAUAAAGGCAAAAGCGCGCUUAACUGCGAGACCCACAAGUCGAGCAGGUACGAAAGUAGGUCUUAGUGAUCCGGUGGUUCUGUAUGGAAGGGCCAUCGCUCAACGGAUAAAAGGUACUCUGGGGAUAACAGGCUGAUACCGCCCAAGAGUUCAUAUCGACGGCGGUGUUUGGCACCUCGAUGUCGGCUCAUCUCAUCCUGGGGCUGAAGCAGGUCCCAAGGGUAUGGCUGUUCGCCAUUUAAAGAGGUACGCGAGCUGGGUUUAGAACGUCGUGAGACAGUUCGGUCCCUAUCUACCGUGGGCGCUGGAAAUUUGAGAGGAUCUGCUCCUAGUACGAGAGGACCAGAGUGGACGAACCUCUGGUGUACCGGUUGUGACGCCAGUCGCAUCGCCGGGUAGCUAUGUUCGGAAGGGAUAACCGCUGAAAGCAUCUAAGCGGGAAGCCUACCUCAAGAUAAGAUUUCCCUAGGACUUUAUGUCCUCUAAAGAGCCGUUCGAGACUAGGACGUUGAUAGGUUGGAUGUGGAAGCAUAGUGAUAUGUGAAGCUGACCAAUACUAAUUGCUCGUGAGGCUUGACUAUACAACACCCAAGCAGUUG